GUGUGUACAAGGCUAUUCUUUGCAGCAUUUUUGGAAACGACAAAAGACUGGCAACAACUUAAAUGUCGUGUUACUUAAAUACAGUUACAUAAAACACAGAACGCACGUACAGUGGACUCGUCAGCAUCGGAAGAAAAGUGAAAACAGCUCUUCACGUGCCACUAUGGAAGGGUCUCCACGAUGCAUCACUAGAUGAAAAAGUUCAGGAUACAAGCCAAAUCCUUGCCACAGCUACCAGAACCCCCAUGACCUAGUCCCCAUAACCUCUGACCUAAUGGCCUAUUGCAGCCUUCGCUGCAGUGACACUGGCCCCUCUGAUGCUUCCCAAGCCUACGUACGGCUCAGGCAAGCUGCUGUCUCAGGACCUUUGCACUUGCUGCUCUCUUGCCGGCAAUGCUCUUCCUCAGAUAUUUUCUUGGCUGACUCACCCCUUCGAGUCUUUGUUCAGCUAUCUCUCCCUCAGUGAGGCCUGGGCUGAUCAGCUUUUUAAAAAAUUUCAACUCACCCCUCCACCUCCCCUUUCCCAAUCACCCUAUUCUGCUCUAUCUUUUCCCAGGUGUUCAUCGCCGUCUAGCAUGCUCUCUCAUUUACAUAUAAUGUCUUUAAUGUUUUUUUUCAUUGUCUCUCUUCUCCCAUUACAAUGGAAUCGUGAUGGGGGCAAGGAUCUUCGUUUUGCUCACUGUUAUAUCCUCAGUAUCUAGAAUGGCGACUGGCAUUUAGUAGGCACCUAGUGAUUAUUUGUUGACUGAGGAUAGUCCACAUACCAAAGAACACACGCGAUUUGUUUUUGUUUUUUUCUUUUUGUCGGUGGAGCAGAUUCAAGGUUACCCUUAUUUUCACUCUCCCACACUCUGUUUUCUCAAAUGGAAGAGAAAGGAGCAACCUUACAGCUAUGCCAGCCGUCACCAUAACACACAGCCUGGGCAUCGCCGAUGACUGGUGCCAGGAAGGCAGGACCCGUGGAGGGGAAGCCCCUGAAAAGACCCUUGGGGGCUAGGGCUGGCUCUGCCCUCCGCGAUCCGUGUGACCUCCACAAGUCCCCCAAGCCCGGAGCUAAGGGGGCAGCUCACCCCCCCGGGGAACGGAGCCUGGUUGGAAGAUGCCAAGGAAAAGGUGCCGACACCCGCACCUGGUUCAGUGUGGGAGGAAGAACACCGGACGUGCAGCCAGAGGCCCAGUUCAACAGCUGCGAUAGUCAAAAAAUGAACUGACUUGCGCUCCGGGAAGCAGUUUAUCAAGUGCCCCCCAAGGUCAGGGAGCCGUAUCAGGAACAACAAACAGAACCAGCUGGCUUAGGACGCAUAGGGCAGACCUAGGAGCCCAGAGACGAUCUCAGUUAAUUCUCAGCCCCAGGGGGGAAGGUACCAUCCUUGCCCCACGUUACAGCACUCCACCUUGACCAGCUCCAGCACCGCACCCCAGGACAGCGGAGUGGUGAGCGAGGUCCGUCUGAAUCGAAGGCUUCUCUUUCCCUCCACCAAGCUAGACUUUGAGCAAGGCUGUGAUGCCACUUCUAGGUUUGAAAAUGGGGCUGCUCUCCACGCACGUCGCCCUCCCAGCCCUGGGACAAACACAGCCCCUCUGCAGAGCUGUGCACCUCUGAGCACCACCGUCCCCCAGGAGCUGCCUGUCUCCCGAGGAGCCGAGGAGCCGAGGCCCAGCCGAGAUCCUCCUCCCCGUGGCUGUGAGACACACACCCCGCCCUUGUCCUCAGGCGACUCCAGGGCACAACUUUCUACAGCACCCAGGCCAGCCCGCCGCCCGCCGCCUAGGCGGUGAUCUGUAAGUACUGGGGGAAUGAAAGGAGAGAGAAAAGGAAGGGAGAAAGGAAGGGAAGGAAGGAGGAAGGAUGAUGGGUAAAAAGCAGCCACAGCUGGGUAGGAAACAAUAUCUGAUUACUGGAAGCUUCCAUUUCUUCCCUCGGACAUGGCUAGAGUUGGUAUCUUGGGGUCUUGCAGGCUCCAGCUUCCUUGUGCUUGUCUGCGGGUCUGGCAAGAGGGGAAGUGGGGAGGGGCCGAGAAGGGGACAGCGCUCUCCUCCUGCCCUGCCUGGAGCUCGAUAUUUGAGCACACCGGGAAGGCAGACUCGAGGCUCAGGCUGCCGGCCAGGAGCUCCGGCCCAACCGAGCGCGGCUCCGGCCUUCCAACCUCCACCCGAUGGCAGAGAUUACAGAGGACCAAGGCACAUUCACUCGGGAGGGUAUUGGUUUACUGAAUGUUCCCUGGGCAGACACUACUCGCCCAGGCCUGCCAGCUGCCUCACAGAGCAGAGCCAGCCAAGGGUCUGAGGGCAUCGGGACGAGCCCCGCCUCGCCCCACUAAGCAGGUGGCAGGGAGAUGCUGGGUCAGUGGUGUCAUCUUCUCCACCCACAAGGUCAGGCCGACCUCACAUUUGGAUUCUUAGCACUCUGAUUGCUGCAGGACGUCAGCAGGGAGGACUCCCGCCCCCCGACUUGGGGGAAAAGAAGGCACCAGAUCCUCCCCAGGAAGCCAGUCUAUCCCGGCCUCUCUCACCACAUCUGUGGAGGCCAUCCCACACGGACAGCCAUCUCCCUUGUCUCCUGACAUCUCUGCCCAAGGAUGCCAAGGAGACAAGGGCCCAACCUCCCCACUACAGCUGAUCCGCUCUCUCACCGUCAGGAAGUGCCACCGGGUGGCUGACUCAAACCCUUCCUGCUGUAGACUAAGUCCUUGGUCAUCUAUGAUGUGACAUAACAAGGACAGAAGAUUCCUGCAGCAGCUUUGAAGGUCUCCGUCUCUGCCCAUCUCUCCCCCUCAUCCCCUGAAGCCACAUCCCAGAAGGGCUGCCCUCUCCGGCGACCAGGUUAGGAUUUUCCAACAAAAGUCAGUCUGGUGCUCAUGAACCCCAAGCUCUCGGUCAGAAGAUCACCCCCUAAAGCCUUCUGCUCAGAGAUGGGGGGGCGGAUGUAUCAGUCCGGGAUCCUUGGAACCUUUCCCUAAAUUAUUUGGGACCACCUUGCAAACUUGCACUCCUCUCUUACUGGUUCCUCCCACAUCUGACCCAAAACUCCAGAAGGCAGGAAUGCCAAACCCUUUGAAGGUACGUCAAGGGCAGAUAUUCACCACGGUGCACAAGUGUUCUUCCCUCCCCGCUGCCCAACUGCCUCACUUCCAACCUAAAGGGGCCACCUUCUGGAGGAGGGGCUACCCUCCCUCACCCUGCCUGGCCUCGGGGACACGAAGGGACCCAGGGCCACAAGGGCCGCAGGGGCAGCUGGGGGUGCAGAAUUCACGCAAUUUUGCAUUGCUCGGCCAUCCAGGGAUCUGACACUUGGCCUCCCUCUCUGGGGGUUGGGGCAGCUUUUCUAGACCAGUUCAAGCACCAGCUCUAGGGCUGGAAAGAGAUCAGACCAAGCAGCCGAAAGCAUUUCGGGCUGCAGAUGAAUAAUCUUUUAGAUCAAGAUCAUUAAAUGAUAGUACGCAGUAUCGAUCCUGGACUCUGGCUCCAGACCCUCACGUUGGAGUCCUGCCUCCACCGUUUACUCAGGACACUGCCGUGGACGAGGCCCCCAACCUCUCUGCUACUACCCGUUCCAUCCUCUAUAAAACGGGAACCCCAGGGGCAACCGGAUAUUAACGUGGAAGUAGUGGGGUCUCAGUUGUGACAGAGGCCCCAGGAAGAUGAACGCCCCACUCCGAAAGUAAGGCAAGGGAUCAGCACACAAGGAUGGCAGGAAGACAUCGCUAGCAUCGAGAGCAAAGAGACCAUAAUCCACAGGAUGCAAAUCACUUAUCCAAUAAGGGAUCUGUUUUCAGAAUAGAGAAGGAACUUAUAACUCAAUAGCAAAUAGACCAAAAAAAAAACAUUGUUUUGAAGUGUCCAAAAUAU